GGAGGAUGCGAGCGUUAUCCGGAUUUAUUGGGUUUAAAGGGUGCGUAGGUGGUGAUUUAAGUCAGCGGUGAAAGUUUGUGGCUCAACCAUAAAAUUGCCGUUGAAACUGGGUUACUUGAGUGUGUAGAGGUUGGCGGAAUUCCGAGUGUAGCGGUGAAAUGCGUAGAUAUUCGGAGGAACACCGGUGGCGAAGGCGGCCAACUGGGCUUUAACUGACGCUGANGCUCGAAAGUGUGGGGAGCAAACAGGAUUAGAUACCCUGGUAGUCCACACUGUAAACGAUGAUUGCUAGGUGUGGGGGGUCUGACCCCUUCCGUGCCGGAGCUAACGCAAUAAGCAAUCCACCUGGGGAGU
rnacentral:rRNA from 1 species